GAUGAAGAACGUAGCGAAAUGCGAUAAGUAAUGUGAAUUGCAGAAUUCAGUGAAUCAUCGAAUCUUUGAACGCACACUGCGCCCGCCAGUAUUCUGGCGGGCAUGCCUGUCUGAGCGUCAUUUCAACCCUCAUGCCCCUAGGGCGUGGUGUUGGGGAUCGGCCAAAGCCCGCGAGGGACGGCCGGCCCCUAAAUCUAGUGGCGGACCCGUCGUGGCCUCCUCUGCGAAGUAGUGAUAUUCCGCAUCGGAGAGCGAUGAGCCCCUGCCGUUAAACCCCCAACUUUCCAAGGUUGACCUCAGAUCAGGUAGGAAUACCCGCUGAACUUAAGCAUAUCAAUAAGAGGAGGA
rnacentral:misc_RNA from 1 species